rnacentral:rRNA from 1 species
UGGGGGAUAUUGCACAAUGGAGGAAACUCUGAUGCAGCGACGCCGCGUGAGGGAAGACGGUCUUCGGAUUGUAAACCUCUGUCUUUGGGGACGAUAAUGACGGUACCCAAGGAGGAAGCUCCGGCUAACUACGUGCCAGCAGCCGCGGUAAUACGUAGGGAGCGAGCGUUGUCCGGAAUUACUGGGUGUAAAGGGCGUGCAGCCGGGAAGACAAGUCAGAUGUGAAAUCCCGCGGCUCAACCGCGGAACUGCAUUUGAAACUGUUUUUCUUGAGUACCGGAGAGGUCAUCGGAAUUCCUUGUGUAGCGGUGAAAUGCGUAGAUAUAAGGAAGAACACCAGUGGCGAAGGCGGAUGACUGGACGGCAACUGACGGUGAGGCGCGAAAGCGUGGGGAGCAAACAGGAUUAGAUACCC